UGCUAAUUUGUUUUCGAAAGAUUCGUGAAAUACCAUCGUCAACUGCCUCUUGAUGUACAAGGAUUCUUCGCAUUCUGAUGUAUCCGGCCGGGGAAUGUUGACGUCUUUCUUCUGGAACAGCAACUCUUCUAUAGAAAGGAUAGCCGUUUGGGAAUUCUCAUUCAACUCUUCAUAAAUGAUAUCGUCCAUCAUUCCGUCAAUUCCGUUGCGACCGAUGAAAAUGACCUUGUUGUCCAUGUGUUCAUCCGGAACAAGAUCUGCGUAAUCUUCCGGAUUAGGUGUUUCGUUAUCGCAAACAACGACGAGAAAAUGUUGAGAAUCUGUUUUUAGUUUCAAAAUGUUCUUCCAACGCUCCCUAUCGUCCCUGUCUUCUAGACAACUCUGUGUCACAACCAAAAGGUUUCCAGUCUUAUUGUCUUCCUGCAUUUUCUUGAUGGCCGAAACAACUUUGACGGCCGUAUGCUUCGGUGCUGGUGUGAUAAUUUGUCCAAUCCUUUUACUGUCCAGGAAAGGCUUUAGUUUAACGGCCAUGUCAUUCUUGGCGUCGUCGUUGAAGCCCACCUCGUUUUCUAAUUUUGCUUGGUGCUGGCUUGAAUUGUUUGUAACGCCAUCUAACAAGAUCUUCUUGGCUUCUUCUGAAGUUAGCGUGAAGUUGUUGGAGAACUUUGCAGAUACUUUGUGUAGCAAACGGAUCGUUUGCUGUUCGCAUUUGUCCUUAGGGUAGUACUUGCUCACAUCAUGAGUUUGUAAAAUGGCUUCAAAUUGCUCUUCGUUUGGCAUGUUCACCACGAACACGAAUUUGUCAAGGAAUGCGUCAAGGUCUUCCUCCGAGAUUUUAAACGGUAACGGAUUUAUUUUAUCAUUCGAUUGCCUUCCGAAUGUGUUAUUCAAUUUGAAUUCCCAGUUUUUCCAGUCAUUCUCUGCUAAAUUGUUGAGGGUUUGGCGAAGUUGUUGUGCGCCAUUGGACAGACUCUCUUUUCCGUUUACGAAAUCUUCAUGGAACUUUUUGGUGGCAGAAUCGAUGACUUUUUCUUCGAUUAAGGCAACGUGGUACCUGCUGAAGAUUCCUCCAUUCCUUGUAUCAGUUGUUUGUUUAUCUCCUACACAGGUUUGCAAUUUCUUUGCAAGAUGAUCUAUGUCUGACCACUUAUUUAACGCUUUUCGUCGCAACUCUUCUGUGAAUUUCAAUUUAUAACGAAGUGUCUUUUGUUGCGGACCAAACUCUAGAAUGUCUUCAGGCUGGUCGUCAAUCGACACCAACUCGAUGCCUUUUUCCUGGAAAUUGUUCAAAUCGAAACUGAUGUUUGUGCAAAGGAUGCAGUCGUGAAUGUCUUCGCCUCUUCUUCUUAUCAUGCAGAAGGAACGAAAAUAUUUUGGUAAACUGAAAUCACCCUUGUCAUUAUCAUUGAGGAGGUGAGUCGCAUUAAUCUUGUCCGAUUCGUUCUGCUUGUGUUUGGCUUGCAAGUAGCGAUAGUGCCAAUGUUUACCUUCAGAUGUAUCAUCUAGCACUUGAUACUGAAAAAUCACAUCGUCAAAUUUACCACCCAGGUCUUCUCUUUCUCUGCUUAAUUUAAAUUUGUAGCCGGCCCCAAGUGCCCGGAUGCAAAACAGCGUCAACAAUUUCGAUUCAAAUUUCAAACCGUGAGUUGCAUCAGGUGGCUUUUUUGUUUUUUCCCCAACAUUUCUUGCUGGCGACACGGUGGCUGUUGACGAUGAAAUUCUGUUGGACUGGGAGAUGUCGUCAUCCUCGACGAAGCUUGGACUAUUGUCCUGCUCGUUCUUCGAUGCCAUUUAACAAAACAUCAAAUCGUUUUGCUGACCAAAAUGAUGCACAGGGAAAUCCUAUGUGGAAUAUAAAAUGGUUUUAUUAGCAUUAACUAAAGAAUAAAUAUUUAAAAAACAUUAACACCUUUUUCAACUUCAAAAGGGUACAAGAUAUUUUUGGUAUCUUGAUGAAAAUUCCUUUGAAGAUGAUGUUGUCUUUUUAAAUGAUGAGAAAAUUAUCCCUCGUUUAAGGUGAUCCACAGCUAGUACGUUGUAGUGAUUGACAAAGAGAACUGUUCCUGUACAUAACGAAACCGAGAAAUAGAUAUAAGAGAAACAGUUCCACAUUAUAUAUUAAAAGCGAAAUUUGUUCUUUGGAGCAGUUACGUUUGCGUCUCGUUGGACGUAGAUUGUUUACAUUUUGGCUGGUCGAUUCGCCAUUGUUCGCAGCCCUAAUUUCAAAGUAAAACAAUAAUUAAAUUGUCGUCGUAUGAUUUUAAAACAAUUUAUUUGAGAUGAGCAGUGCAAUCACCAUGACAAUCACUUCCAAUAGUUCCAAAGAACAAAUUCCGCUUUUAAUAUAUAAUGUGGAACAGUCUAGCAGAAGUGGAAAGUUAAAAACUUCCGGAAAUUUUUGGACCAUUUUUAUUUUUUUUUUAUACAAGCAUUUUUAAAUUAAAAUCCAAAAAAUGAAGUUUGCAUUAAAAUUUAUUACUUUGGGAAUUGUCCUCCUACACAGCCAGUUAGCAUUGCGUGUGACGUAUGCGUGUGACGUAGUACAAACAGUGAUGUGUACCGAUGGCCUUGUAGGACGUCAUUGACGAUAAGUCAACGCGAGCUGCAGAGUUACGUUGCAAACGUUUAGCUAGUUGAAAUUACGUAAUUGUGUUUUGUUUCUUACAUUUAUUGUAAUUAGCGAAAAUUUGCACUUGAAUAAAUGUAUAGCUAGAAGGGAAUUGAGGAAAAACGAUUGCUAGAAAACUUGGGCGAUGUGCAACAAGUCACGAGACAACUUUCGUUCACCACUACACGACACGUCCACAUUGCAAAUACGCAACUCGAAGCCUGUUCUAACAACCGUCUUUUGGAUUCACGGACUGGCCAGAGGCCUACAUUCACGCAAGUCGAAUUUUCUACUAGGCGAUAUUUUUGGUGAUAACUGGAAUGUAUGUUACACAUUUACAAUUUUUUGACAGACAGUUGCAGUUCUUCCGUAUCACAGUCGUUCGUUUCAGAACGGCCCAGAAGGACAACAGUUCCGUUAAGACUAAUUUCCAUGGCUAUGACGUCGUCUAAGCAGUUGAUCCUUUUUCGCGAUUCACUUAAAUUAUUUGAACUGAAUAAUUGCUCCAUCUCUUCCAGGGUUUUGCCUUUCGUCUCCGGCAAAAGAAAGUAAACAAAAAUGGCGCUUAAUAAAGUACAUCCGGCGAAGAAGUAAAAGGUCCCAUCUUUGCCCAUCUCCCGCAACAUGUCGGGGAAAAAUCGGACCAUCACAAAAGUGCAAAACAAAUGGAAAGAGGAGCUGAUUCCUCCCAAUAGCGACCGGUAUCGUAAAGGGAACAUUUCGCCCAUGAUGAUGAAAGGUACGUUACUGAUCCCGCCCGAGUAGGUAAUGAAGAAAACCAUCAGGGAAACGAGUGGCAGCCAACCGAAAUAAUCCGUUGCUUCUUGAUCGCCCCAUUGAUGUUGAAAGUAGAAAAAUGUCCCCAUUGCCGUCAAAGGAAUAGACGUGCUAUUUAACACAUCGACGUACAAGAAAACCGGAGGCGACGGUGAAAAUUAACUGGACAGCACCGACGAUAAUCGUGGCGUAUGUUCCAUCCAUUGAGCUUCCGGCUGUUUGGAAGAUGCUGACUGUGUAGAAUACAAUGGCAUUGAUUCCAGUGGUCUGCUGGAACAGCAUGAUGCUUAAUGAGAUGGCCAAAGGUUUGACGACCGGACCGGAAGUUAAAACAGCGCGAAAUUGUUGCAUCACCGUGUCAUCCUGUCCGCUUUUAAUAGCGACACGUUCCUGAUGCUCUUUGAUCCGCUCGAUUUCGGCUUCAAUAUUCGUCCCUCUGGGAACGUUGGGCCUCUUGAUGCCGGCCCUUUGAUAUGAGCCAGACUGGAGAUUCCGGCAGCAAGAAAGAUCCGCCCAUAAAGAGGAUGGGUAAACAUCCGAGAAUCCAAGAGAGGACGUGCCAGUCCACGAAGGAUCCGAUUAUAUUUGUGCUGCGGGCGUGGUGCAUCCUGCUGCGAAUCCCAUCAGGAAUCGGCCAACGUACAACAUCGAUUUGUGUUUGCCGAAGUAGGUGAAUCCGGUGAUGAGGAAUCCGCCAAUGAAGAUGACGUAAUGACCAAUCAAAGCAUUCUUCCGGCCGUAGUACUGCAUCGGCUUGUUGAUGAACAGUGAGCCCAGCAUUGCCCCGAGCAUCGGAAAUGAAGCUGUUGUUGUUUAACAACUGUAAACACAUUUCAAAAUCCAACGUCUGAUUUAACGAUGGGAUGCCGGGAGAACUCCAUCCGCGAACGGUACCCAUGGAAAAAUAGCCCCAUGUUGCCCACACUGCCACCAUCAACUGCGUCCAAUCAAUUUAAUCAAGUGCACCUGUUUAAAGAAAAUCUGAAGAGCAACUCACCUGCGGUAAGACUUUGCUGGGAUUCUUGAUCCACGGUUUGUUCAUCGUGAUCGUCCACUGCUGGCCAAUGAACUGGAUAGAUGCGGCGUGAACGACGUGUGUAGUAGUGCCUCGUUCGUCAAUGAACUGUAGGCGCGUGACACGAUUGUGACGUGCGUGACAAACAGCUUCCGGAUUUCCUCACUGCAGAAUUGGCGAUUCAAAAAAGAAAACAUCAUCAAAGACAGACGACAGACGGUGCGUUCAAUGAACCAAUGGUUCGGCAAACUCAACAACAAACUGAGACCGUCAUAAAUCUAAUGGACGUGGUUAAAGGCGUCCAUCCCAAACGAGAACAAUUCACGACACGACUUAGACGCAAUGAUUAAACAGAUGAAAUCACGGUACUCCCGAUGAGCUGAGAUAGGCUGGCUAUUGAAGAAGUGCAACGACAUCUAACGAUCAAAUGUUCAACCAGCAAUGAGGUAAUAACUGGAAAUGUCUAAGUUUCGCCAUUUCAAUGUUUGCGCAUGUAGAUAGAUCGGUUCGACUGUUGGUCAAUGCUGUUAAACACAUUUUUCAAUGAUUGACGCGACUAUUUAGCAAUCAGCUGUAAUUUCAAUUUACUAACGAGGCAUUUGUGGCGAUUUGACUUUGGAUAUUUUAGCUUCAGAGAUAUGGUUAACAAACGCUAAAGUUAGUACGCGAAGAAAGAGCAAAAGAAACAAAACGCAGGAUAGAUCAAACGUGUAUUGAAGAUAAAGUUGGUAGAAAUAAGGAAGCAAUCACCAAUCAUGAAAGAAUUCGAAUUUCGGCGGGCUGCAAAACUAGAAUCUUGUCACCAAUAGAAUAUAAUUCAAACAAAUCCAGUCCGAAGGCUUUGCGGCAAGACUAUGCGAUGCGUAGUGUAGCCAGGCAGCUUUCAAUAACCACAGUACAAGGCUCUCAAUUUUUGGACGUCCAUCUAACAAAUCCCAGAGAAACGAAUGGAUCAACAAUUAGUGUGCUUAAAUGUCUAAGGGGAAAACAAUAGUUUCCAGAAUGGGGACGAAAUUUGGUUUUACCCAAGUGAGACCGAUGGGAUUUCCCAUGGUCGUUCUCCCAUUUUUGGCAACCAUAGUCGGCCUGGAAUGGUCAAUAGCGAAAGCGUGAGAACUGUAAUGCAUAACCGAAUCUGAAAAGAUAACACGUGAUCACCAACCCAUUCAACUAAAAAAGACAAUCGGAUUGAAAUUACUCAAAUCGUAGCGUCCGAUAGAAUUGACUUUAUCUGCCGGCUUUGGGCUAAACCACUGAUGAUUUCCUGCUCACGAAACAUUGAAUUCAUGUUCUUGAUUGAAUUACCAGCUGCGUUAACGUGAAUUGCUUACUCGGAUCGAUGUUGUCGUACUUGACGGUAAUGUACUUGUCUUGAUCGGGCCGCUCUUGUUCGUGAUUGAAUCCAACGGCGUGCAUCAGUUCGUGGACAAUGGUCGACGCGUAAACGCAUCCGUUGUCGAGACUCAGUUCCUGGGCGCCUCCAGCUCUUCCCUUUUGCGACCAGCAGCUAAUAUAUCGUUAGAUAAUAAAUGUGUUGUAAUGUUCAAUUUGCUUUGAAUCGAUCGUCGUUUUUUGUUCGUCUUUUGAUCGUGCAUACAUACCCUGGAUAAUUAGCCCAUCCAUUCGUCGAUUCUCGGCUUCUAAUGAUUUUAAUGUAGUCGCUUUGGGUGCGGCGUGCCACGAAACGGAUGCAAGUCUUUUGAUGGUAAGUUGUCAUGGCGGAGGCGAUGGCUCGACGUUCAUCCGCCGCUAAUUUGUGUUAUCGAUUAAUUUAAUUGUUCAGCAAAAGAGAAAUUCAUUGAAACUCUAGCACAUACUGAAACUGCUGGAGAUGACGUAGGGCACUUGUGCGUUGGGCCAUUUCACGUCCGCGUUUUUAUUGGCGUUUUUCUGGUCUCCCGGUAGGACGUCGCCGCCCACCAGUCCACUGUGUGGCUGUUUUUCCCACGGUUGAGUGCCAUGGUCGUCUAUGGAAACUGAAUGCAACAGUUGUCAAAUCAUUCAAACAUUUUUUCUAUCAAUUUAAUUCAUCAUCCUUGAUUUGAUUUUUCUAACGUUAUUUGUAGUAAUCGUUGUUACCUGCCUUGCCGUGAACACCGCUAUUGAAUUCUUCGUCGGUUAACGGUUCUCCGGCUUCAAACACGACUUCGUUCUGAUUUUUAUGAAAAACAACAAUUUGGAAAAAUGAUUAAAUGAAUUUUUCAAAAAACCUGCUAUACGCCAUGGACGCAAGAAAAUUGAACGUAAGAUGAAAAUCUUACUCGGUCCAGCUGGUUAUCGUUUUCCGCCCAGACGGGAUUGGCUUCAACACAAUUGGCCCAGCAGCAGAGCAUCGAAACAGCCGAAAAGGAGAAUAAUAGAUAACUGGGACGCAAUUUGGUGGCCAUGUCGAUUUACGGUCUCUGAAAUUCAUCAGCGUAAAACGUAAGCAUUGGCCACAAUUGGCCACAAUUGGCAACAAACUUUAAAACGAAGCAACUUACCGAAAAAACUGCGAUGUAGUUGGCACGGAAUUGCCGCUAGAUGAACGAUUGAAAACUGAGCUGGUGAUGGGCGCUUUUUAUAGGGCUCUCCAAAUUCAGAUUUGAUUGAUACACCUACGCAUUUUUAGUGCGUGCAAGCCUUGAUUGCAGCAUAUGGUGUUGGAACAAACACUUGGACAUGCAAACACAGCAAUGUAAGCGUGGAAGGGCUGGCAGGUUGGCCAUUUUGGUUCGCCUGUUCAUGUCGGAACUGAAGGACACACGUACAUGUCAAUGCAGCUGUGAUUACCAUCGAUCAAGCAGCAGCUGUUUCCUCAACCCCCACAAACGGUAGGCUAAUGAAGAGUCGAGCAACGAAGUGAGUAUCACUAUUGCGAUGACUAUACGCUGCAACUGUCGUUCAAUUCGUACGUUGCCCAUCAAAUGCUGAAAAGCUGUUAACGAGACGAGGAAACCGCAAUGGUCUGCGGGUGACGUCAUUUUCGAAGACAUCAUGGAGAUUCUCUCCUACCCUCUUAAGUUGCUGCCUCAGAUGUUUUUUUUUUUCUAUGUCUCUGCAUUUUAUAAACAUGAAAGCAAAAGAAAAAUCGCCGAACGAGAGAGAGAGAGGGGUAGCAAAAUCUGCAUAAGAUGUUCAAAAGCAAAAAAUACCUCGAAACUCAGCAGAGCGGGCGGACAAUAAUUUGAGGAGGUUACAGCACAUUUUUCUUCUUUUUCUCUUACUUUCAUAGGAAUUCAGUGUGUUUAGAAAGGUCACAGAUGAAACGGAGAGAGAGCGGAAUGAACAGAGACAUUUCGUCCCGGUUAGUUCCCUUUGACGAAAUAUCGAUCGUCAGUUUAGUUUUUUUCAUCAGAAACACGAAACUCUCUUUAAAUGGUUUAUUUAAUCAUUCAUUAUCGAGGAUUGUUCUAGCACUGCUGCUAAUAUAUACCCCGACCGUAAUCCAGGAACUUCAGGAACAAUCGAGGGAGAAUUUAAACGAAAAGCCUUCAGUUCGGGAGGUCUGUAUGGCUAACCAAGCUCUAAAUUUGGACACGAACGGGAAAAAGAAACGGUACAGAAAGUCAGUAUACUCUGCAUGUGAUUUGUAUUGAAGGUGUCAGUGUGAAGGCAGUGACGGCAGCUGUUAAUUGCAGUACAAUCCCUUCAGCUUUUGGACGUCCGUCUAACCAAUGACCAAAGGAACACAAUGAAUUAGGAGAAAUCGAUGAAUGACGUCAAUCAAAAUGUCGAAGAGAAUUUGCUUACCGCGGUAAGUCCACUAUUAUUUCCCAUGUUCGUUUUGCCGGUUUUCGUUAGCAUAGUGGGUUUAGACGGGUUGAUGGCGAAGGCGUACGCACUGUAAUGCAUAACCGAAUCUGAAAAGAGAUGAACGUGCAACGUUUUAAUCGUGCAGUUGAAGGUAUUGGUCGAUCAUGCGCUAAUUACUGAUAUCGUAGCGUCCAAUAGUGUUCACCGAGUCUGACGGCUUGGGCGUGAACCACUGAUGAUUUUCUGUCAAAAGCGCGGUCGUGCGACGCGUUCAAUACGCAGCCAAACAAAUUCAAUAAUUGCAACCACUUCACUCAAACAGAGGGCUCAAAUUGACGAAUGCCUACCUUUUUUGAUGUUAUCGAAUUUGACGGUGAUGAAUUUCUUUUGAUCGGGCCGCUCUUGUUCGUGAUCGAAUCCAACGGCGUGCAUCAGUUCGUGAGUUAUAGUCGAGCGAGACACGCAUCCGUUGUCGAGACUCAGUUCCUGUGCGCCUCCGACUUUUCCCUUUUGCGCCCAGCAGCUAAUGACAAUAGCAAAAUCACAUUUUUCGAGAUAAUACACAAGCAGUUAGGCCACGAUUCUUUGUUUUGGUCAUAAUACCCGGGAUAGUUAUUCCAUCCAUUCAUCGACUCUUUGCUCCUAAUAAUUUUGAUGUAGUCCUUUUGGGUGUUGCGGGCCACGAAGCGGAUGCAAGUCUUUUGGUGGUAUACAGCCAUGGCGGAGGCGAUGGCUCGACGAUCUUCCGUCGCUAUUUAUUUAUUUAUUUUGCCAAUUCAUUUUUUUAUUUUGAUUCUUAAUUUAAUUGGAAAGGGAAUGGAAGUAGAAAUCCGUCUGAAAAUGGUUAGUACAUACAGAAACUGUUGGAGAUGACGUAGGGAACUUGCGCUUUGGGCCAUUUGACGCCAGCAUUUUUGUUGGCGUUGUUCUCGUCUCCGGGCAGUCCGUCACCGCCCAGCAACCCACUGUGCGGUUGUAUUUGCCACGGUUGAGCGCCAUGCAUGUCCAAAGAAACUAAAUCGAACAUUGUUAAUUGUCUACUACGUAACACGGCAAUCUUAUACCGUGUUUUACCUGCUUUGCCCUGGACAUCGCUGUUGAAUUCUUCAUCGGUUAGCGGUUCUCCGGCUUCAAAGACGACUUCAUUCUGAUUUCCAUCAACGGUUAACAGAAUUUCAAACAUACGUCUGAUGCGCUAAGGAUAUUUGAAACUAUACCCGGUCUUACCCGUUCAAGUUGGUUUUCAUUUUCUUCGUGGACGGGAUGGGCAGAAACGUCAUCGGCCCAGCAGCAGAUCAUCGCCACACAAAUAGCUAGUAAGGGAAACAGGUAGCAAGAGCUCAGUUUGGUUGCCAUGUCGAUUGCCGGUUCGUUUCUGAAAUGUAUCAUUGCACAAUAGCUUUAGCAUUUGAUAUUAUUAAAAGAAAAGUAACUUACCGAAAACUGCGAUAGCCACGUACGUAUCUCUACAGCAAAGAACCGAUUGAAAACUCGAUUACGGGUGCUCUUUUUUUUAUAGGGCUUUACAUUAAGAUUGUUAACUGUUACACCCACACGUUAAUGUAAUGCGAUAUAGUCUACGUCGGAGCAUACGGUGUUGGAACAGAUGCUGGAACCAGGUCCUGUGUGUAAUGCGGAAACUGUGCAACGGAUAGCAUUUGGCGGUAUUGAUUCGAAUGAUGAUUGGUUCAAGUGAGAACGGCUGAUGUGCGCGCUUUCAAAUUGCGAAUGAUGAUUGGUUCAAGGGAGAACGGCUGAUGUGCGCGCUUUCAAAUUGAUACAGCUGUGAUUACAAUUAAUCAAACGGCAGGUGUUGCUCAUCUUUCAACAUGGGCCGGUAUGCCGGAUGUUGAUGCGGUUCCAAUAUUCACGUAUAAACGUUUCCGGGCCCUUUGCUGUGGUGAUAUCGGAAGUUAAAGGCACAGGUUGCGACGACUGCAUAGCGCCGGAACUGUCCUUCGAUUCCGGUGUCUCAACACCCACGGUCUGUUGCCAUGGCGAUAUGGUCUUCUUUGCGUCGUGUGGUCCGAUAUUAAUCGGCAGUGAAUUUCAAAAAAAAAAUAUUUGUUAGGAAAGGAGUGGAGCUGUAAGAACGUGUUUCACCUUAUUUGUCGCUUCGUUUCUUGUUUCCACGGUGUGUGUGUUCAAACUAACGGCAAUUUCUAUUCCAUUCAAGGGCGUGUAAUUUGUCCACGUGGACUCAUUUCAACUCGCUUAUACAUUGUAAACUCUCUCUCUGAACAAGAACGUGGACGUGGGUGCGGUCUGAAUAAAGGGAAUUUCCCACUUACGAGUAAUGAAGAUAUCCAUGAAAGGCAGAAAUGCAAAUGAGCUAUUCGGGAACGAUUGCGUUCUCUCCCUGUAUCGCGGUUGAUUGCACCUGCCUGAAAAGGGACUGGUUUGUUGAAGACAAUCGAUUUGAGCAAGCCGAGACGUUGAGUGGUCACUUUGAAUAAUGUUAAAAUUGAUUUCAUUUGAAAAGGUUUCGGUGGGCAAGUGCAACGGGGAAUGUUGACGUUGGCAUGAAAAAGGGGGCAGGACCAAGGCGCUUUUGACUCUUUAAUUUGGUGUUUGCAGACGUUUGUUCCCACCAGAAAGCGACGUGUUUGUUGAGAAACAGUCGUGUUUCAGACGCAUCGUUGGAAACACUUGAUUUCUUUAUUACGUAACCAAACUCGAAGAAAAAUGGAUCAUUUUUCGUCUGGAAAUGGAGUUCAAGCGACAAAUUCAAACGCAGAACCGGUAAAAAACAAUGCAGCUGAUUUAUGUAAUGUCAAGCAGAAACAAAAGCAUUCAGUGCUUUGCACCGUGACGCAAGAAAACAUGCGCAUGCGCCAAACCAUCGACCAAACGACGCGUAAAAUGAACCAAUGGAUACGUCAAACUCAACAACAAACUGGGAGCUUCAUAAAGCUCAUGGACACGCUCAAGGCGUCCAUGCCGAACCAGAACAACUCACGACACGAUUUAGACGCAAUGAUUAAACAGAUGAAAGAUCGGGAGUCCCGAUGGGCUGAAGAAAGGCUGGCCUUUGAAGACAUGCAAAAACGUUCGACGACUAAAUAAUUUUCAGUCAGCAACGAGGUAACUUGAAAUUCAGGUUUUUUUUGUGCACGUGCAUGUAGACCGGUUUGACUAUGUGUCAAUGUAGUUGAGUUUGAUCCAAUUCGAUUAGUGCGGCGGUGAAUGACCACAGAACGUGACUGAACGGUAAAUUAACUGAUUCAGGUCACUAACCUGUGGAAACAUUUUUUCUUGAAAACUAUUGUGAGUUUAACCCUCAGGCGUCUGGGUUGGGGUGGGUCGGAGAGAAAACCGGUUCUAAAACCCGAUUUUGGGAGAAUGGGGAAAACUGUAUGUCAAAAAAUGUUAACAAUUAUAGGAAUGAAUAUGUCUUUACAAGAUCUAUCUAAUUAUGUAAAAAUAUUGCUUACAAAAUAAUAGUUGGGAAAGUAAACCGCUUCGCCCUAUUUCAGGUAGGUCGCUGCGGUUAAUCGGGUCGAGGUACCCCUCCCCCUCCCCCUAAUACUACUGAAUUUUUCAAUAAUUUUUUGCGGGAGAACUAUAAGACCAAAAUAAAUAAAUGUUACAGAAAUUGAUAGCUCCUGAUAAGAGCUAUGUAUUUCUGUAAAAAAAAAAACAUAAUUUUCAUUAAAAAAAAAAUUUUGGAAAACAAGUUGUUUGUACUUUUUUUCGCUCUAGAUAUAUACUACAUCCAACAGA